UACGUAGGGGGCAAGCGUUGUCCGGAAUCAUUGGGCGUAAAGAGCGCGUAGGCGGUCCGGUAAGUCGGUUGUGAAAACUGGGGGCUCAACCCUCAGAGGCCGACCGAUACUGUCGGGCUAGAGUCCGGAAGAGGCGAGUGGAAUUCCUGGUGUAGCGGUGAAAUGCGCAGAUAUCAGGAGGAACACCAAUGGCGAAAGCAGCUCGCUGGGACGGUACUGACGCUGAGGCGCGAAAGCGUGGGGAGCAAACAGG
rnacentral:rRNA from 1 species